UACGGGGGGAGCAAGCGUUGUUCGGAAUUACUGGGCGUAAAGGGCGCGUAGGCGGCCAUCUAAGUCAGACGUGAAAUCCCCCGGCUUAACCUGGGAACUGCGUCUGAUACUGGAAGGCUUGAGUAUGGGAGAGGGAUGUAGAAUUCCAGGUGUAGCGGUGAAAUGCGUAGAUAUCUGGAGGAAUACCGGUGGCGAAGGCGGCAUCCUGGACCAUUACUGACGCUGAGGCGCGAAAGCUAGGGGAGCAAACGGG
rnacentral:rRNA from 1 species